rnacentral:piRNA from 1 species
UUCAAUGACCCAACCUAGAGACCCAACUGGAC